rnacentral:rRNA from 1 species
GGGGAAUAUUGGACAAUGGGCGCAAGCCUGAUCCAGCCAUGCCGCGUGGGUGAUGAAGGCCUUAGGGUUGUAAAGCUCUUUUAGCAGGGAAGAUAAUGACUGUACCUGCAGAAUAAGCUCCGGCUAACUUCGUGCCAGCAGCCGCGGUAAUACGAAGGGAGCUAGCGUUGUUCGGAAUCACUGGGCGUAAAGCGCACGUAGGCGGAUUUGUUAGUGAGGGGUGAAAUCCCGGGGCUCAACCUCGGAACUGCCUUUCAUACUGCAGAUCUCGAGUCCGAUAGAGGUGGGUGGAAUUCCUAGUGUAGAGGUGAAAUUCGUAGAUAUUAGGAAGAACACCGGUGGCGAAGGCGGCCCACUGGAUCGGUACUGACGCUGAGGUGCGAAAGCGUGGGGAGCAAAC